rnacentral:rRNA from 1 species
GACGAACGCUGGCGGCGUGCUUAACACAUGCAAGUCGAACGGAAAGGCCCUGCUUUUGUGGGGUGCUCGAGUGGCGAACGGGUGAGUAACACGUGAGUAACCUGCCCUUGACUUUGGGAUAACUUCAGGAAACUGGGGCUAAUACCGGAUAGGAGCUCCUGCUGCAUGGUGGGGGUUGGAAAGUUUCGGCGGUUGGGGAUGGACUCGCGGCUUAUCAGCUUGUUGGUGGGGUAGUGGCUUACCAAGGCUUUGACGGGUAGCCGGCCUGAGAGGGUGACCGGCCACAUUGGGACUGAGAUACGACCCAGACUCCUACGGGAGGCAACAGUGGGGAGUAGUGCACAAUGGGCGGAAGCCUGAUGCAACAACGCCGCGUGCGGGAUGACGGCCUUCGGGUUGUGAACCGCUUUCGCCUGUGACGAAGCGUGAGUGACGGUAAUGGGUAAAGAAGCACCGGCUAACUACGUG